rnacentral:misc_RNA from 1 species
AAGUCGUAACAAGGUUUCCGUAGGUGAACCUGCGGAAGGAUCAUUAUUGAAUAUGCUUGAUGGGUUGUAGCUGGCUCUUCGGGGCAUGUGCACGCCUGUCUUGACUUUAUUCGUCCACCUGUGCACCUUUUGUAGUCUUGUGGGUUGAGCGCAGUCAACUAUCGGACAGCUGUUACGACCGCUCCGGAUGUGAGGAAUGCUGAGGUGCGAAAGCAUACAGCUUCUCUCAACGAUUGCAAUAUCUCUCCCUCGAGUACUAUGUAUUCAUAUACCAUUUGUAUGUUGUCGAAUGUGAUCAAUGGGCUUAUAUGCCUAUAAUAAUCAUAUACAACUUUCAGCAACGGAUCUCUUGGCUCUC